GACGAACGCUGGCGGCGUGCUUAACACAUGCAAGUCGAGCGGAAAGGCCUUUCGGGGUACUCGAGCGGCGAACGGGUGAGUAACACGUGAGUAAUCUGCCCUUCACUCUGGGAUAGCCACCGGAAACGGUGAUUAAUACCGGAUAUGACCACUCCCGGCAUCGGGUGGUGGUGGAAACUUUUUUGGGUGGGGGAUGUGCUCGCGGCCUAUCAGCUUGUUGGUGGGGUAAUGGCCUACCAAGGCUUCGACGGGUAGCCGGCCUGAGAGGGUGACCGGCCACACUGGGACUGAGACACGGCCCAGACUCCUACGGGAGGCAGCAGUGGGGAAUAUUGGACAAUGGGCGGAAGCCUGAUCCAGCAACGCCGCGUGAGGGAUGACGGCCUUCGGGUUGUAAACCUCUUUCAGCUGGGAAGAUAAUGACUGUACCAGCAGAAGAAGCCCCGGCUAACUCCGUGCCAGCAGCCGCGGUAAAAC
rnacentral:rRNA from 1 species